UACGUAGGGGGCAAGCGUUGUCCGGAUUUAUUGGGCGUAAAGAGCGUGUAGGCGGCCAAGCAGGUCCGCUGUGAAAACUCGAGGCCUCAACCUCGAGACGUCGGUGGAAACCGUUUGGCUAGAGUCCGGAAGAGGAGAGUGGAAUUCCCGGUGUAGCGGUGAAAUGCGCAGAUAUCGGGAAGAACACCCGUGGCGAAGGCGGCUCGCUGGCCUGUAACUGACGCUGAGACGCGAAAGCGUGGGGAGCAA
rnacentral:rRNA from 1 species